rnacentral:lncRNA from 1 species
UGAUAUUACGCAUCAGCCCACAUUGAGAAUCCCCAGUGGUUUCAGACUUGACGGCGGUGACUCCCGUCCUGUGGAGGAGAAUGAGGUCCUGCGGAUGAGCUCCUCUGACAGAGACAUUGGUCGUCUGGAGCUCUCUGGUCAUAGGCAGCUCCAUGCAGGAGACUGGGCACUGAUCGGAGAAGCGGCACGUCUCCCUCGCGAUGGAGCCAGCCUGCGGGCACCAGACAAGUCCCUGCUUAGCCCAAAGCCAAGGAAAGGGCCUUGCAAACUAACUUUUUCCCAGCAGAGUAAUUACACGCUGUUGCCUAGAGCCUUGGUACUGUAGAUGGCACAUGUGCUUGGCUUUGCUAGUAGCCCGUCACGCGUCCACAGGUCUGUAGCACCUCACUGCACACUGCUCUGCGCUGGUCAUGGCACGGUGCAGCAGGGGUGUGGAAGGGGUAUGGAGGUAGAGCAGGUGCUGAGGCCCUCCGUCUGCAGCCGAGCACUUCCCUUGACUCAGCUCUCCUGCGCAGACAGCAGAGGCGCGGGGAGGAAGCCCAGGCCGAUCGCGCCAGCACCCUGGCCAUGGAGCACCUGGUCCUGCAGACGACUUCGGAGUUGUCAAAGGAAAUAG